rnacentral:rRNA from 1 species
CCUACGGGUGGCAGCAGUGAGGAAUAUUGGUCAAUGGGCGGAAGCCUGAACCAGCCAAGUAGCGUGCAGGAUGACGGCCCUACGGGUUGUAAACUGCUUUUAUACGGGAAUAACGCGCCUUACGUGUAGGGCUUUGCAUGUACCGUAUGAAUAAGGACCGGCUAAUUCCGUGCCAGAGGCCGCGGUAAUACGGGAGGUCCGGGCGUGAUCCGGAUUUAUUGGGUUUAAAGGGAGCGUAGGCCGGAUGUCAAGCGUGCUGUGAAAUGUCCGGGCCCAACCCGGGCCUUGCAGCGCGAACUGGCGUGCUUGAGUCCGCGGAAAGCAGGCGGAAGUCGUCGUGUAGCGGUGAAAGGCUUAGAUAUGACGCAGAACCCCGAUUGCGAAGGCAGCUUGCUGCAGCGGAACUGACGCUGAUGCUCGAAAGCGCGGGUAUCGAACAGGAUUAGAUACCCUGGUAGUC